rnacentral:rRNA from 1 species
AUUGAACGCUGGCGGCAUGCCUUACACAUGCAAGUCGAACGGUAACAGGUCUUCGGAUGCUGACGAGUGGCGAACGGGUGAGUAAUACAUCGGAACGUGCCUAGUAGGGGGGGAUAACUACUCGAAAGAGUGGCUAAUACCGCAUGAGAUCUACGGAUGAAAGCAGGGGAUCGCAAGACCUUGUGCUACUAGAGCGGCCGAUGGCAGAUUAGGUAGUUGGUGGGAUAAAAGCUUACCAAGCCGACGAUCUGUAGCUGGUCUGAGAGGACGAUCAGCCACACUGGGACUGAGACCAGGCCCAGACUCCUACGGGAGGCAGGAGUGGGGAAUUUUGGACAAUGGGCGAAAGCCUGAUCCAGCAAUGCCGCGUGCAGGAUGAAGGCCUUCGGGUUGUAAACUGCUUUUGUACGGAACGAAAAGCCCCGGGUUAAUACCCUGGGGUCAUGACGGUACCGUAAGAAUAAGCACCGGCUAACUACGUGCCAGCCGCCGCAGUAA